rnacentral:rRNA from 1 species
ACCCUUAAAGACUUCUGCACCUUUAGGAUAUUCUGGUCCAACAUCGAGGUCACAAACCUUUUUUUCGAUUAGAGCUCUCAAAAAAGAUAAUGCUGUUAUCCCUACGGUAACUAUUUUCAUUAAUCAUAAUUUAUGGAUCAAGACAAGUAUGUUUAAGUUUUUUUAAGAAGCUUUAUUUGUUCCUUAUUCGCCCCAACCAAAAUUUUUAAUAAUUAUUUUCUAUACAAUAUAAUUAAGAUUUAUUAAUUUUUUUAAAGCUCGAUAGGGUCUUCUUGUCUUUUAAUUAGAUACAGACUUCUUCAUCUGUNGAUAAAAUUCUAUAAAAUUAAAAAGAGACAGCUUUGCUCUUGUGAGACCAUUCAUUCCAGUCCUCAAUUAUAGGACAAGUUAUUAUGCUACCUUAGCACAGUUAAGAUACUGCGGCCGUUAAACAAAAAUCACUGGGCAGGCCGGACUCUCUAUAUAAACUAAACAAAGAGCC